GUCAAGUUAGUUUAACUUAAAACCUCAGCCUGUGGAUUUGAAAAUGAAAUUUAUUUCACUUGACC
rnacentral:tRNA from 1 species